rnacentral:rRNA from 1 species
UACAUAGGGGGCCAGCGUUAUUCGGAAUUAUUGGGCGUAAAGGGCGCGUAGGCGGCUUUGCGUGUCUUUCGUGAAAUCCCUCGGCUCAACUGAGGACGUGCGGAAGAAACUGCAGGGCUGGAGUCCGGGAGAGGAGGGCGGAAUUCCCAGUGUAGCGGUGAAAUGCGUAGAUAUUGGGAGGAGCACCGGUGGCGAAGGCGGCCCUCUGGACCGGUACUGACGCUGAUGCGCGAAAGCGUGGGGAGCAAACGGG